rnacentral:misc_RNA from 1 species
GAUGAAGAACGCAGCGAAAUGCGAUAAGUAGUGUGAAUUGCAGAAUUCAGUGAAUCAUCGAAUCUUUGAACGCACAUUGCACCUCUCGGUAUUCCGGGAGGUAUGCCUGUUCGAGCGUCAUUUGUACCCUCAAGCUCUGCUUGGUGUUGGGUGUUUGUUCCGCCUCUGUGUGUGAACUCGCCUCAAAACAAUUGGCAGCCGGCGUACUUGUUUCGGAGCGCAGCACAUUUUGCGAUCCAGAUCAACGUACAGCGGCAUCCAAGAAGCCUUAUUUAACGCUCUUGACCUCGGAUCAGGUAGGGAUACCCGCUGAACUUAAGCAUACAAUAAGCGGAGGA